rnacentral:lncRNA from 1 species
UGGAGCCGAGGUUCCGCGGCGUCCGGAAGCGUCCCUGGGGACGGUACGCGGCGGAGAUCCGGGACCCCGCCAGGAAGGCCCGCGUGUGGCUCGGCACCUUCGACACCGCCGAGGCCGCGGCGCGCGCCUACGACGCCGCCGCGCUCCACUUCCGCGGGCCCAAGGCCAAGACCAAUUUCCCCGUCGCGUUCGCGCACCCGGCGCCGCCGCCCAAGAUGCUGGCCGUCAGCCCCAGCAGCAGCACCGUGGAGUCAUCCUCCCGGGACUCGCCGGCCGCGUCCCCCGCGGCGGCGCUGCCUGCGCCGUCGCUGGACCUGAGCCUCGG